rnacentral:misc_RNA from 1 species
AACGCACAUUGCGCCCGCCAGUAUUCUGGCGGGCAUGCCUGUUCGAGCGUCAUUUCAACCAUCAAGCCCCCGGCUUGUGUUGGGGACCUGCGGCUGCCGCAGGCCCUGAAAUCCAGUGGCGGGCUCGCCGUAGCACCGAGCGUAGUAGCACACUUCUCGCUCCGGUAGCAGCGGCGGGCGCUUGCCGUAAAACCCCCCCUAAAAUCUCAAGGUUGACCUCGGAUCAGGUAGGAAUACCCGCUGAACUUAA